CUGGCAUGAACCUGGGAGGCGGAGCUUGCAGUGAGCCGAGAUAGCGGCACUGCAAUCCGGCCUGGGAGAAAGAGCGAGACUCCAUCUCAAAAAAAAUAAAAAAUAAAAUAACUGAGUGAAGGGGGACAGGUGCUUUGGCUUAUGCCUAUAAUCCCAGCCCUUUGGGAGGCUGAGGCAGGAGAAACUCUUGAGGUCAGGAGUUCAAGACCAGCCUGGGCAACAUAGCCUGCUUGGUGGCGUACACCUGUGGUCCCAGCUACUUGAAAGACUGAGGUGGGAGGAUCACUUAAAACUGGGAGGUCAUGCCUGUAGUAGUGAGCCUUGAUCUGGCCAUAGCCCUCCAGCCUGGACAACAGAGUCACUCUGUCUCGAAAAAAUAAAUAAAAAUAAAAAAAUAAACUGAGAGACGGCCAGGUAGGAUGACAUGUGAGGAGUAGACGGAUGUAGGGUAGAAAUAAAAGAGACCCCAUGUAGGAUAGUUGAGACUUGAGGGAAAAAUAAACCAACUUCUUGGGUAAUGUAAUUAUUAGUCUUUCAGGCCCCUGAAGCUGAGCGUAAAUGAAGGCUGAGGCAACUGAAGUUGGCACUAGGAGAUUCGGUUUCCUUUUCUUACCACCCUUAUCAAGAUAAUUGCUUAAUCCCGGAGGAUCCUGGGACAUGUAGUCUAAAAAGAGUGUUCCUGCUUUAAAAGGUGGCACCGGCCGGGCGCGGUGGCUCACCCAUGAAUUUUAAAUUAUACAACUAAAGUGGUCUGCUGUGAAAUGUUAUCAUGAUCAUUCUAACGUCAACAGUCUUGACAAUUCUGCCCAAUUUCAGCAUUUCAGGUUUCCAGUACUUAACUCAUUCCUAAGUAAAUAAUACUACAUUACAAGGCAAGGUGACACACACCUGUAAUCCCAGCACUUUGGGAGGCCGAGUCAGGGGAUCCCUUGAGCCCAGGAGUUCAAGACCAGCCUGGGCAAUAAGGCAAAACCUCAUUUCUAUAAAAAAUACAAAAAUUAGCUGGGCAUAGUGGCACAUGUCUGUAGUCCCAGUUACUGAGGAGGCUGAGGUGGGAGGAUCACUUGAGCCCAGGAAUUCAACGCUGAAGUGAGCUACUAUCCCUCCACUUCAGCCGGGGCAACAGAGCAAGACCUUGUCUCUGGGAAAAAAAAAGAAAAACUUGAAAGAGAAGAACUAUUGAGGAAGGAAAAGGGUGAUACCUUUGGUUGUGUCUAAAUUUACCAGGCUGCACGUGGUGGCUCAUGCCUAUAAUCCCAGCACUGUGGGAGGCCAAGGUGGGUGGAUCACUUGAGGUCAGGAGUUCGAGACCAGCCUGGCCAAUAUGGUGAAACACUGUUUCUACUAAAAAUACAAAAAUUAGCUGGGUGUGGUGGUGCGCAGCUGUAAUCCUAGAGACUCGAGAGGCUGAGGCAGGAGAAUCGCUUGAACCCUGGAGGAGGAGGUUGCAAAACUCCGUCUUGAAAAAAAAAAGUAGGCCGGGCAUGGUGGCUCACGCCUGUAAUCCCAGCACUUUGGGAGGCCGAGGUGGGCGGAUCACCUGAGGUCAGGAGUUGAGAUCAGCCUCACCAACAUGGAGAAAUCCUACUGAAAUACAAAACUAGCCAGGCGUGGUGGCACAUGCCUGUAAUCCCAGCUACUCGGGAGGCUGAGGCAGGAGAAUCACUUGAACCUAGGAGGCAGAGGUCGCAGUGAGCUGAGAUCCCGCCAUCGCACUUCAGCCUGGGCCACAAGGGCAAAACUCCAUCUCAAAAAAAAAAAAAAAUGACCUUGGGGAGCCCUAGGAGAUGUGACUAGGAAUUAGCUGCUUGUCUUCCAAGGCAGCUGAAACUGAAGGACAACUGUGUGGCUUGCCUACGGGGAGAAAGAUGCCCUACAUAUAAAAAUGCGAUGGGCAAAGAUUACAAACUGGUUUCAAAUACCAGCCCUAAGUCAAAGAGGAGUGUGUUUCAGAAGAAGAGCCCUUUCUGGCCCCCGGUUUCAGGCCUCCAGCCCAGAGCCAGGGUGAAAGACACUAGUUAGUCUGUUCUUUAUUUUCCUUGGAAAAUUACAGGGUUACUUAUCAACAAAAUAACUGUCCAUCCGGUGGGGAAGUGCCAUC
rnacentral:lncRNA from 10 species